rnacentral:rRNA from 1 species
UCGAGCGAGUCUGCCUUGAAGAUCGGAGUGCUUGCACUCUGUGAAACAAGAUACAGGCUAGCGGCGGACGGGUGAGUAACACGUGGGUAACCUGCCCAAGAGAUCGGGAUAACACCUGGAAACAGAUGCUAAUACCGGAUAAUAACAGGUGAUGCCUAUCAACUGUUUAAAAGAUGGUUCUGCUAUCACUCUUGGAUGGACCUGCGGUGCAUUAGCUAGUUGGUAGGGUAACGGCCUACCAAGGCGAUGAUGCAUAGCCGAGUUGAGAGACUGAUCGGCCACAUUGGGACUGAGACACGGCCCAAACUCCUACGGGAGGCAGCAGUAGGGAAUCUUCCACAAUGGACGCAAGUCUGAUGGAGCAACGCCGCGUGAGUGAAGAAGGGUUUCGGCUCGUAAAGCUCUGUUGUUGGUGAAGAAGGACAGGGGUAGUAACUGACCUUUGUUUGACGGUAAUCAAUUAGAAAGUCACGGCUCACUACGUGCCAGCAGCCGCGGUAAUACGUAGGUGGCAAGCGUUGUCCGGAUUUAUUGGGCGUAAAGCGAGUGCAGGCGGUUCGAUAAGUCUGAUGUGAAAGCCUUCGGCUCAACCGGAGAAUUGCAUCAGAAACUGUCGAGCUUGAGUACAGAAGAGGAGAGUGGAACUCCAUGUGUAGCGGUGAAAUGC